rnacentral:rRNA from 1 species
UACGUAGGGGGCUAGCGUUGUCCGGAAUCAUUGGGCGUAAAGAGCGUGUAGGCGGCCCGGUAAGUCCGCUGUAAAAGUCAAAGGCUCAACCUUUGAAUGUCAGUGGAUACUGCCGGGCUAGAGUCCGGAAGAGGCGAGUGGAAUUCCCGGUGUAGCGGUGAAAUGCGCAGAUAUCGGGAGGAACACCAAUUGCGAAGGCAGCUCGCUGGGACGUCACUGACGCUGAGACGCGAAAGCGUGGGGAGCGAAC